GCUGGGUGUGGUGGCUCAUGCCUGUAUUCCCAGGAAUUGGGAGGCUGAGGCAGGAGGAUCACUAGUUCAAAGCCAGCUUCAGCAAAAGUGAAGCACUAAGCAACUCAGUGAGAUCCUGUCUCUA
rnacentral:sRNA from 1 species